rnacentral:lncRNA from 1 species
UCAUUUCAUUUCCAUUCCAUCUCAUUCUCUUCCAAGCUAAAACAGAAAAGAAAACAAGAGAGAGUGAGAGAGAGAGGGCCGAAAUCUUGAGAGGAAAAGAGAAGAGAGAUUUCAUCAUUCAUGCACCCAAAAUUCCUUAACUACUUUGGCAAGAUAAGAAAGAUUGCUAGAAAAUCAAGGUAAAGAUCUAUCCUAGUUAAUUCUUUCUUAGUUUAUUUUAUUUUCAAAGUUUUAGAGGGGUAAUGUUCUAAGAAUUAAGAACCCUUACAUAUUUAUGUUUCAUGUAAGGAUCUAACCCUCUUGAGUGUUAGAAUGAAGAUCCAAAGGAAGAAAAUGAACUAAUGUUCAUAAAGGGUGAAAAAUCCUAGCUUUUUCUUCACUUGGAUCCUUUAUAACUUGAGAUCUACACCUUCGAUUUGUGAUCCGUCAAAGGAUGGUGCUAGAUAUGUAAGUUACCUAGUAAAUCCAAGUGGUAGAACCCCAAACCACUGAUUUUUCCGGCCAUGGUGGAUGGUGGAGCCAAAACAGUCCACUAUAAAACAAAAUUAGUGGACAGUUUCUGUCCACUUGCUACAAAGGGCCGUUUCAUCAAAUUUCUGCACCUUAAAAAUUCUGGGAAAAAUCAGGAAGGCACCAUGAUGAGUUAUCUAUAUGUAGAAAAAAGAACGGGCACGUUUCGAUGUAUAGAAUGGGAGGAAUGAUCUUUACCGUAAAGGAUUCUUUAAAAAGAAAACCCGAAUAAUUCAUUGUGUAUGACUGAAAAACAUCUGAAAUUUUUACAGAGAAUUAGUAUAUGUUAUGAGAGCAUGCCCUCAAAAUUUCAGAAUUGUUUGGGCAAAACUCAAUUUAUUAAAAAUGUAACAAGAUCCUGGUGUUUUAGGAACUUUAAAAAUAGUAAAACAAGUUCUAAAAUUCCAGGAAUAUUUGGGAAUCAGUAUUGGGUCAUACACUAUCCAAAUCCAGAAACGAAGAAUUUUUUGAAUCAGUUUGGUAUUUUUCCUAAAAAAAAUAUAAUUAUGAAUAAAAGGAAAUAAAUAGUUAAAUGAUGUUAUAAAUAAGGAAAAUGUGAUUUUAAUGCUUGGAUACUCCUAAUAUAUAAUAUUUUGACUAGUUGAGGGUAUUUUGGUAAUUUAUAAUAAGAAGUAGUAUUUAUGACCUUUUAUGGGUAUUAAAUAAGUGGUUUAAUAAAUGGUGAACAAUUAGAAUAAAUUGUUUAUUUACCUAAUAAAUUAUGAAAAUGUUAUUAUAAUAUUAGAAUCUGAUAUUUUUUAAAUAAGUAAGAAUAUUUAAAUUGAAAUUUAUUUAAAAUAUUAUUAGAAGACUAAUAAUAUUAGAUUAAAACCAUUAUAAAUGAUUAAAAUAUUAUUAAAUGACUAAUAAUAUUAGAUUAAAAUAUUAUUAAUAUAAUUAAUAAUAUUAGAUUAAAGUAUUAUUGGAUGAUUAAAAUAUUAUUAAAUAAUUAAUAAUAUUCGAAAUUAAAUGUUAUUAAAAUAUAAUAACAUUAGUAAAUGAAUAAAAUAUUAUUAAAUGAUUAAUAAUAUUAAUACAUGAAUAAAAUAUUAUUAAAAGGUUAAUAAUAUUAGUAAGCGAAUAAAGUAUUAUUAGUUGAUUAAUAAUACUAAGGAGUAAGUAAAAUAUUAUUAAAAGUCAUAAUAUUGGACGAGUUUAGGAUAAGUUUACGUAAUAGUAAUAUUAUGAAGGGAUAAUCAUGUUACUAAGGAAUUAAUGUAAUAACUAAUAUUUAACUAUGUGACUAAAUAUUAGGUAAUUUAAUAUAGAGCAAUGAUAUAUGAUUUUGCUAAUCGGAAGGUCAAUUAUAGGUCUUUCGAAGAAAGGUAGAUAGACUGUUAAUCGGAAUAUAUUUAUUUUCAUAGCAGUAGACUAUAGACAAGACAAGUUCCCUAACUCAAACUCGAGUAUUAUUUUUCAAGCAUGUUAGUAUAUGAUUAUUGUUGAUUAUUUCACAUCUAUGAUUAUUAUUGAAUAUUCGCAAUUAUUGCAAGUUCCCUAGGGAACUCAAAUUUGAGUAUUAUUUUUCAAGCAUGUUAGUGGAUGAUUAUUGUUGAUUAUUCCACAUCUAUAAUUAGUAUUGAAUAUUCGCAAUUAUUGCAAAUUCCCUAACUAAAAGUCGAGUACUAUUUUUCAAGCAUGUUAGUAGAUGAUUAUUGUUGAUUAUUCCACAUCUAUGAUUAUUAUUGAAUAUUCGCAAUUAUUGCAAGUUCCCUAUACCGAGACUUUACUUUUCGCAAGUACUUUAUUUGAGUUCGAGUUUUAAUUCUCAAGCACGUGCUAAGUGGUUUAAUUAUGUAAAAUUAUUCCACAUCAUUGUUAUUGAUAUUCGCACUGAGUGCAUUUGAAUUCGUACAAUCUUUGACCUGUAUCUUAUUUAAAAGUUCUAUAAUCCAUGAAAUAUGGAAAUUUGAUUCUGAACCCUUGUUCGGUCAGACAGUUGCAUGAAAAACAUUUAUAAAAGCUAUCUAGGCCAUUUGAUGGUACAGAUUCUUAGACUGAAGUGAACACCCCUUAUUAUAGGGGAGUACCCCACGUAUCUAAUAUAAGAUACACACCAUAAAGUUAAAUGUUAUGCAUAUACAUAGUGUACGAGAGGCUGAUCCCCUCGAGUAUGUAUUCUGAGCCAGUAACUAAGGGGUCAAUUAGCUAUUGAUUCCCUUGAAUGUUGUUCAUAGUCUACUUGACUACUUGAUACUCUAAAAGCACUUUUUGUCUCUUGCUUCUAUUAUUCAGAUAUUAAAUUUUUCCAGAUAUUCAUUUUAUUCAUGAUAUAUAUUAUUCUUGUUGUACUUAAACUUGUUGAGAAAACUAGUUGCUCAUCCUUGCUAUAUCAUGAACAUUAUUGCAGUUAAACCUGAGACCUCAGGCAAAGGCAAAGGCAAGGGCAAGGAGAAUAUGAAGUAAUAGACUUCUAGUAGCAGCACUUUUGUUUCAUGCUAGUUACAUUAACUGUUAAUGUUAGUUGAACCCUAAUUACUGUACUAGGGUAUGUUUAUAAGUUGUAUUAAGGUUCAAACCUUGGGACUAAUAA